rnacentral:lncRNA from 1 species
GUAACAGUUAUUGAGGAGGCUCAACAUGAUAAAGGCUAGAUAUUUAUGCUAACACUUAACCAGUUCCACAAAGCUUUGUUGUCUAUUAGAGCUCCACAGAAUUCAAGGAUCAAAGAAGACUAGCAGACGGAGGACAUCCUAAUCGCUGUCAGGGUGCUGCCGACAUUCAAAUACACCUCCACCACCUGCUAGCUACAUCAGAAGAAAUUACGUCAAAAUCCAGCUUGGGGGAGAGCACCCCCAUUUAUCCAGCUAAGUGUUUCUACUCACGUUUAUACUUUACUCAAAUAAUAAAAGAUGCAUAAUCAUGAAAACCCAAAUAAAGAUUUUGUGCUUUUAUAUAUAUAUCUUUGCUUAGUUUGCUAAAUAAAUAAAUAAAUAAAGUUUGCUAUGAACCCUCAUGAUAAACUCUCACAUGGAAAUGAUGAAUAGUUGCUCUGCCAUGACUAGUUCUUAAAAUUGAAAUCUCUCUCAAGUUUAGGCAUGACUGUUAU